GGCUCGGUGGUGGAUGGUCUACACCUGCGUAUCAUGAAUAUAGAAUAUGCAAGACCUUAUAUGCAGGAGGAGCCUGUUCAAAUCAGGCCCGAGCCA